rnacentral:rRNA from 1 species
GCAUAUCAAUAAGCGGAGGAAAAGAAAAUAACAAUGAUUCCCUCAGUAACGGCGAGCGAAGAGGGAUAAGCUCAAAUUUUAAAUCUGUUGGGUUCCACUUAACAGAGUUGUAUUUUGAAGAAACGUUUUCUGCGUCCAGGAUUAGCCUAAAUCCUUUGGGAUAAGGUAUCAUGGAGGGUGAGAAUCCCGUUCAUGGUUAAUCUUAAGGAAGCUCUACGAUACGUUUUCCAAGAGUCGAGUUGUUUGGGAUUGCAGCUCAAAAUGGGAGGUAAAUUUCUCCUAGGGCUAAAUAUUGGCGAGAGACCGAUAGCGAACAAGUACCGUGAGGGAAAGAUGAAAAGAACUUUGAAAAGAGAGUUAAACAGUACGUGAAAUUGUUGAAAGGGAAACGAUUGAAGUCAGUCAUACCAACGGGAAAUCAACCUUUUGAGCUCGGUCUCGUGGGUUUUGAAGAGUUUCAAAGCCUUCGGAUUCGCGGGAUUGGGAUCUCUUGGUGUACUUUUUCGUACGGUUAGUCAACAUCGGUUUUGAAUGUCAUAAAAUGACUGGAGGAAUGUAGCUUCGAUCUCGUAUUGAAGUGUUAUAGCCUUUGGUAGAUGUGAUGUUUGAGACCGAGGAUUGCAACGGAUACCCUUCAGGGCUAUUCGUCUGAUCUCUGAUACGUUGCCUUGAUGUUGAAAGCUUGCUUAUGAUGUUAGGGUAUUACGGUCAAAAGGUUAGAACGAAUUACAUUCGUUAAGGAUGUUGACGUAAUGGCUUUAAACGAC